rnacentral:rRNA from 1 species
AUAUUAUUUACAAUAAUAAUUAGAUUGUGCAAUUCGGUCUAGCUUGAAUUUUAAAUUUUAUAUUACUUUUAUAUAUUUAGUUUAUUUUUUAUUUAAUCAGAAAUAUCUUUUUUUUAUUGGUAAUUUUAUUGACCUUAUUAUUUUAUUAGUUAUAGCUUAUUUUACUGUGAAGGAUUUAUUUUUAUUUUAUUAAAAGCAUACUUUUUUUGUAUUACCUUUUGUAUCAGGGUUUAUCAAUUUUAUAUUAAUUAUUUAAUUUUCCCGAAAUUAAAAGAGAUAUAUUAUAAUGAUUUUUUAUGUUUCAUAAUAAUUUUUAAUUUUAAUAUAGGGGUUAUAUGCUAUUCAAUUUUAAAUAUCUGGUUUUCUAAUAUAUUAAUUUAAUUAAGAUUAACAUUUGUAGGUUGAUAUACAAAUUUAUUUUAUUCAAUUUUGUUAAUUAAGUUUAUAGGGGAUAAGCUCUAUUGAAUAUUUUAUAAUAAUAAUUUUUAAUUUAAGGGUUAUUAGGCUUGAUAACAGCCAUUAUUUAUUUCGUUUCAGUUAAUUCUUAUUUAUUUUUUAUUUAUUUUUUAUUUAAGAUUUUAUUAGAAUUUUGUGUUUAUUUAUUUAUUACAAGUAAUAAUGAUAUAAUUAGUAGUUUAGUAAUUCUGAAUUUAGGAAUUCGGCAAUUUUAAUUUCCGCCUGUUUAACAAAAACAUGUCCUAUAGUUUUAUUUAUUUUAGGUCGGGCCUGCCCAGUGAUUAUUUUUAAACGGCCGCAGUAUUUUGACUGUGCGAAGGUAGCAUAAUCAUUUGUCUUUUAAUUGAAGGCUAGUAUGAAAGGUUUGACGAGAAAUUAACUUUCUUAAUUCAGAUUUUAUGAAUUUGAUUUUUUAGUUAAAAAGCUUAAAUUAUUUUGCUAGACGAGAAGACC